GACCUUGUGGCGCAAUGGAAGCGCGUCGGUUUCCGGAGCCGAAGGUUGCGGGUCUGAGUCCCGCCAGGGCAUUUCA
rnacentral:tRNA from 1 species